GAGAUAUUAGAAAAACCAUUUCANAGCUUUGUCAAAGCUAAGCUAUAGGUUAAACCCUAUAUAUCUUG
rnacentral:tRNA from 1 species